CAGGAUAUGCCGCGGGUGAAUCAUGUUUGAGUCUGCCCGAGUGCACGAAUACCCUGUGCAAGAAUGGUUUUGAAAUGCAUUGUGUAGAUGCAAUCUGUACGUGUUUGUCGCCAUCUACAGGAUUUUCAUGCACUACAAAGUACGAAUGUUUCGGGAACCCGUUACACGUAUCUUGUAACAAAGACGGCACAAACUGGCACUGUGUUGACUCAAGAUGUCGCUGUUAUUGACGAGAAACAGCGAUGAAUCUUAUACAAGUGUCUAAACUACAGCUGAAUAUCUGCAUUAAAAUAUACUAAUUAUCUUAUCUA
rnacentral:lncRNA from 1 species